rnacentral:rRNA from 1 species
GAUGAACGCUGGCGGCGUGCCUAAUACAUGCAAGUCGAGCGAACAGACGAGGAGCUUGCUCCUCUGACGUUAGCGGCGGACGGGUGAGUAACACGUGGAUAACCUACCUAUAAGACUGGGAUAACUUCGGGAAACCGGAGCUAAUACCGUAUAACAUGUUGAACCGCAUGGUUCAACAGUGAAAGACGGUCUUGCUGUCACUUAUAGAUGGAUCCGCGCCGCAUUAGCUAGUUGGUAAGGUAACGGCUUACCAAGGCAACGAUGCGUAGCCGACCUGAGAGGGUGAUCGGCCACACUGGAACUGAGACACGGUCCAGACUCCUACGGGAGGCAGCAGUAGGGAAUCUUCCGCAAUGGGCGAAAGCCUGACGGAGCAACGCCGCGUGAGUGAAGAAGGUCUUCGGAUCGUAAAACUCUGUUAUUAGGGAAGAACAAAUGUGUAAGUAACUAUGCACGUCCUGACGGUACCUAAUCAGAAAGCCACGGCUAACUACGUG